GUGGUCUAUUUGACAGCUACCAAGAUGAGUAGAAAAACACUGACAAUUGCAUUGUUAAGUUUAGGUCUGUAAGUUACUGAACAUCCAGAUUCCUUAUUUCUCUUGUUACUUAUUUAAAUAUGAAAAUUGCUCUAAAAUUGCUUUGUACUUUUGAUUUUAACAACAGUGUUUUGUAGCGCAUCAGCUGAGUCAGCAAACUCACCUACAACUGAAUCUAUGACUGUCACAUCAUACUCACCUGCACAAACGACACAAUUCUGCUUACAACUGACACAACAGCAUAUACAAUACUGUUCAACAACAACUGAAACUCUGUUUACAACCACUGCCAAACCAACACAAACACCUGAAUCAACAAACUCACCUAUAACUGCAACAACUGAAUCUACGACUGUUAGAACAAACACAGCUACAACUAAAACUCGGCUUACAACUACAAGCCUUCCUACAGAAAAAACAACACAACUCACAACUGAGCAAUCAACUACAUCUGAACAAAGCACCACAAUGCAGUCAGCAAAUUCAUCCCUACCUACAACAAGUACAGCUCAAUCUACAACUGAGGUUACAACAAACUCACCCACAACUACAACUCUGCUUACAACUACAGCUCCUCCUACAGAAACAACAACAACACAACUUACAUCUACGGCUGAACCAAAAACCACAACUGCUGCAACAUCUACAACUGAACCAAAAACCACAACUGCUUCAACACCUACAACUGAACAAUCAACUACAUCUGAACAAAGCACCCCAAAGCAGACAACAACAUCAUCCCUACCUACAACAAGUACAGCUCAAUCUACAACCCUGGUUACAACAAACUCACCUACAACUACAUCUCGGAUUACAAUUUCAGCCCCUCCUACAGAAACAACAACAAAACUUACAUCUACAGCUGAACCAACAACCAUAACUGUUUCAACAUCUACAACUGAACUAUCAACUACAUCAGAACAAAGCACCACAACACAGACAGGAACAAAAUCCCUACCUACAACAAGUACAGCUCAAUCUACAACUGAGGUUACAACAAUCUCACCUACAACUGCAACUCUGCUUACAACUACAGCCCCUCCUACAGAAACAACAACAACACAACUUACAUCUACGGUUGAACCAACAACCACAACUGCUUCAUCAUCUACAGCUGAACCAACAACCACAAUUGCUUCAUCAUCUACAGCUGAACCAACAACCACAACUGUUUUAACAUCUACAACAGAACAAUCAACUACAUCAGAACAAAGCACCACAACACAGACAGGAACAAAAUCCCUACCUACAACAAGUACAGCUCAAUCUACAACUGAGGUUACAACAAUCUCACCUACAACUGCAACUCUGCUUACAACUACAGCCCCUCCUACAGAAACAACAACAACACAACUUACAUCUACGGUUGAACCAACAACCACAACUGCUUCAUCAUCUACAGCUGAACCAACAACCACAACUGUUUUAACAUCUACGAUAGAACAAUCAACUACAUCUGAACACACCACCACAAUGCAGAUGGCAACAACAUCCCUACCUACAACAAGUACAGCUCAAUCUACAACUGAGGUUACAACAAACUCACCUACAACUACAACUCUUCUUACAACUAAAACCCCUCCUACAGAAACAACAAGACUUACAUCUACUGCUGAACCAACAACCACAACUGCUUCAUCGUCUACAACUGAACUAACAACCAUAACUGCUUCAACACCUUCAACUGAACAAUCAACUACAUCUGAACAAAGCACCCCAAUGCAGACAACAACAUCAUCCCUACCUACAACAAGUACAGCUCAAUCUACAACCCUGGUUACAACAAACUCACCUACAACUACAUCUCGGGUUACAAUUACAGCCCCUCCUACAGAAACAACAAAACUUACAUCUACAGCUGAACCAACAACCACAACUGUUUUAACAUCUAUGACAGAACAAUCAACUACAUCUGAACACAGCACCACAAUGCAGAUGGCAACAACAUCCCUACCUACAACAAGUACAGCUCAAUCUACAACUGAGGUUACAACAAACUCACCUACAACUACAACUCUUCUUACAACUACAACCCCUACUACAGAAACAACAAGACUUACAUCUACUGCUGAACCAACAACCACAACUGCUUCAUCAUCUACAACUGAAUUAACAACCAUAACUGCUUCAACACCUUCAACUGAACAAUCAACUACAUCUGAACAAAGCACCCCAAUGCAGACAACAACAUCAUUCCUACCUACAACAAGUACAGCUCAAUCUACAACCCUGGUUACAACAAACUCACCUACAACUACAUCUCGGGUUACAAUUACAGCCCCUCCUACAGAAACAACAACAAAACUUACAUCUACAGCUGAACCAACAACCACAACUGUUUUAACAUCUAUGACAGAACAAUCAACUACAUCUGAACACAGCACCACAACGCAGACGGCAACAACUUCCCUACCUACAACAAGUACAGCUCAAUCUACAACCCUGGUUACAACAAACUCACCUACAACUACAUCUCGGGUUACAAUUACAGCCUCUCCUACAGAAACAACAACAAAACUUACAUCUACAGCUGAACCAACAACCAAAACUCUUUUAACAUCUACAACUGAACCAACAACCACAACUGCUUCAUCAUCUACAACUGAAUCAACAACCACAACUGUUUUAACAUCUACAACAGAACAAUCAACUAUAUCUGAACAAAGCACCACAAUACAGAUGGCAACAACAUCACUACUUUCAAGAAGUACAGCUCAAUCUACAACUGAGGUUACAACAAACUCACCUACAACUGCAACUCUGCUUACAACUACAACACCUCCUACAGAAAGAACAAGAAUUACAUCUACUGCUGAACCAGCAACCACAGCUGCUUCAUCGUUUACAACUGAACUAACAACCAUAACUGCUUCAACACCUACAACUGAACAAUCAACUACAUCUGAACAAAGCACCCCAAUGCAGACAACAACAUCAUCCCUACCUACAACAAGUACAGCUCAAUCUACAACCCUGGUUACAACAAACUCACCUACAACUACAUCUCGGAUUACAAUUACAGCCCCUCCUACAGAAACAACAACAAGACAACUUACAUCUACGGCUGAACCAAUAAUUACAACUGUUUUAACAUCUACAACAGAACAAUCAACUACAUCAGGACAAAGCACCACAACACAGACGGCAACAACGUCCCUACCUACAACAAGUACAGCUCAAUCUACAACUGAGGUUACAACAAACUCACCUACAACUGCAACUCUGCUUACAACUCCAGGCCCUCCAACAGAAACAACAACAACACAACUUACAUCUACAACUGAACUAACAACCACGACUGCUUCAACAUCUACAACUGAACAAUCAACUACAUCUGAACAAAGCACCCCAAUGCAGACAACAACAUCAUCCUUACCUACAACAAGUACAGCUCAAUCUACAACCCUGGUUACAACAAACUCACCUAUAACUACAUCACAGGUUACAAUUACAGCCCCUCCUACAGAAACAACAACAAAACUUACAUCUACAGCUGAACCAACAACCACAGCUGUUUUAACAUCUACAACUGAACCAACAACCACAACUGCUUCAUCAUCUACAGCUGAACCAACAAGCACAACUGUUUUAACAUCUACGACAGAACAAUCAACUACAUCUGAACAAAGCACCACAACGCAGACGGCAACAACAUCCCUACCUACAACAAGUACAGCUCAAUCUACAACUGAGGUUACAACAAACUCACCUACAACUACAACCCCUCCUACAGAAACAACAAGACUUACAUCUACUGCUGAACCAACAACCACAACUGCUUCAUCAUCUACAACUGAACUAACAACCAUAACUGCUUCAACACCUACAACUGAACAAUCAACUACAUCUGAACAAAGCAGCCCAAUGCAGACAACAACAUCAUCCUUACCUAUAACAAGUACAGCUCAAUCUACAACCCUGGUUACAACAAACUCACCUAUAACUACAUCACAGGUUACAAUUACAGCCCCUCCUACAGAAACAACAACAAAACUUACAUCUACAGCUGAACCAAAAACCACAACUGAUUCAUCAUCUACAGCUGAACCAACAACCACAACUGAUUCAUCAUCUACAGCUGAACCAACAACCACAACUAUUUUAACAUCUACAACAGAACAAUCAACUAAAUCAGGACAAAGCACCACAACACAGACGGCAACAACAUCCCUACCUACAACAAGUACAGCUCAAUCUACAACUGAGGUUACAACAAACUCACCUACAACUGCAACUCUGCUUACAACUCCAGGCCCUCCAACAGAAACAACAACAACACAACUUACAUCUACAACUGAACUAACAACCACAACUGCUUCAACAUCUACAACUGAACAAUCAACUACAUCUGAACAAAGCACCCCAAUGCAGACAACAACAUCAUCCUUACCUACAACAAGUACAGCUCAAUCUACAACCCUGGUUACAACAAACUCACCUAUAACUACAUCACAGGUUACAAUUACAGCCCCUCCUACAGAAACAACAACAAAACUUACAUCUACAGCUGAACCAACAACCACAACUGAUUCAUCAUCUACAGCUGAACCAACAACCACAACUGAUUCAUCAUCUACAACAGAACAAUCAACUACAUCUGAACACAGCACCACAACGCAGACAGCAACAACAUCCCUAUCUACAACAAGUACAGCUCAAUCUACAACUGAGGUUACAACAAACUCACCUACAACUGCAACUCUGCUUACAACUCCAGGCCCUCCUACAGAAACAACAACAACACAACUUACAUCUACGGCUGAACCAAUAAUCACAACUGUUUUAACAUCUACAACAGAACAAUCAACUACAUCAGAACAAAGCACCACAACACAGAUGGCAACAAUAUCCCUACUUACAACAAGUACAGCUCAAUCUACAAGUGAGGUUACAACAAACUCACCUACAACUGCAACUCUGCUUACAACUCCAGGCCCUCCUACAGAAACAACAACAACACAACUUACAUCUACAACUGAACUAACAACCACAACUGCUUCAUCAUCUACACCUGAACCAACAACCACAACUGUUUUAACAUCUACGACAGAACAAUCAACUACAUCUGAACACAGCACCACAACGCAGACGGCAACAACAUCCCUAUCUACAACAAGUACAGCCCCAUCUACAACUGAGGUUACAACAAACUCACCUACAACUGCAACUUUGCUUACAACUCCAGGCCCUCCUACAGAAACAACAACAACACAACUUACAUCUACGGCUGAACCAAUAAUCACAACUGUUUUAACAUCUACAACAGAACAAUCAACUACAUCAGAACAAAGCACCACAACACAGAUGGCAACAAUAUCCCUACUUACAACAAGUACAGCUGAAUCUACAACUGAGGUUACAACAAACUCACCUACAACUGCAACUCUGCUUACAACUCCAGGCCCUCCUACAGAAACAACAACAACACAACUUACAUCUACAACUGAACUAACAACCACAACUGCUUCAACAUCUACAACUGAACAAUCAGCUACAUCUGAACAAAGCACCCCAAUGCAGACAACAACAUCAUCCCUACCUACAACAAGUACAGCUCAAUCUACAACCCUGGUUACAAAAAACUCGCCUACAACUACAUCGCAGGUUACAACUUCAGCCCCUCCUACAGAAACAACAACACAACUUACAUCUUCUGCUGAACCAACAACCACAACUGUUUUAUCAUCUACAAAUGAACCAACAACCACAACUGAUUCAUCAUAUACAACUGUACUAACAACCACAACUGCUUCAACAUCUACAACUGAACAAUCAACUACAUCUGAACACAGCACCACAACGCAGGCGGCAACAACAUCCCUAUCUACAACAAGUACAGCUCAAUCUACAACUGAGAUUACAACAAACUCACCUACAACUGCAACUCUUCUUUCAACUCCAGGCCCUCCAACAGAGACAACGCAACUUACAUCUACUUCUGAACCAACAACCACAACUGCUUCAACAUCUAAAACUGAACAGUCAACUACAUCUGAACAAAGCACAACAACAGAGACAGCAACAACAUCACCACCACCUACCACAAGUUCAGCACAAUCGACAACUGAGGUUACAACAAACUCACCUACAACUGCAACUCUUCUUACAACUCCAGGCCCUCCAGCAGAGACAAUGCAACUUACAUCUACUGCUGAACCAAAAACCACAACUGCUUCAACAUCUAAAACUGAACAGUCAACUACAUCUGAACAAAGCACCCCAAUGCAGACAACAACAUCAUCCCUACCUACAACAAGUACAGCUCAAUCUACAACCCUGGUUACAACAAACUCACCUACAACUACACCUCGGGUUACAACUAUAGCCCCUCCUACAGAAACAACACAACUUACAUCUACAGCUGAACCAACAACCACAACUGCUUCAUCAUCUACAAAUGAACUAAUAACCACAACUGCUUCAUCAUCUACAACUGAACAAUCAACUACAUCUGAAAAAAGCACCACAAUGCAGACAGUAAAAACAUCCCUACCUACAAGUACAGCUCAAUCUACAACUGAGGUAACAACAAACUCACCUACAACUGCAUCUCUGCUUACAACUACAGCCCCUCCUAUAGAAACAACAACAACACAAUUUACAUCUGCGGUUGAACCAACAACCACAACUGUUUUAACAUCUACAACUCAACCAACAACCACAACUCCGUCAACGUCUACAACUGAACAAUCAACUACAUCUGAACAAAGCACCACAAUGCAGACAGCAACAACUACUCUACCUACAACAAAUACAGCUCAAUCUACAACCCUGGUUACAACAAACUCAGCUAUACCUACAUCUCAGGUUACAACUACAGCCCCUUCAACAGAAACAACAGAAACACAACUUACAUCUACGGCUGAACCAACAACCACAACUUUUUUAACAUCUACAACUGAACCAAUAACCACAACUGUUUUAAUAUCUACAACAGAACAAUCAACUACAUCAGAACAAAGCACCACAACACAGAUAGGAACAAAAUCCCAACCUACAACAAGUAUAGCUCAAUCUACAACUGAGGUUUCAACAAACUCACCAAGAACUACAUUUCAAGUUACAACUACAGGCCCUCCUAAAGAAACAACAACAACAAAACUUACAUCUAUUGCUGAACCAACAACCACAAUUGCUGCAACAUCUACAACUGAACAAUCAACAACAUCUGAACACAGCACCACAAUGCAGACAGCAACAACAUCCAUACCUACAACAAGUACAGCUCAAUCUACAACUGAGGUUUCAACAAACUCACCUAGAACUGCAACUCUACUUACAACUACAGCCCCUCCUACAGAAACAACAAUAACACAACUUAUAUCUACAGCUGAACCAACAACCACAACUUCUUUAUCAUCUACAAUUAAACAAUCAACUACACCUGAACAAAGCACCGCAACACAGGCAUCAACACCAUCCUUACCUUCAACAAAUACAGCACAAUCUACAAACCUGGUUACAACAAACUCACCUACAACUACAUCUCGGGUUACGACUACAGCCCCUCCUACAGAAACAACAACAACAACAGCAACCACAACAUCUACUGUCAAUCCUAAUACAACAGCACCAACAGCAACCACAACAACAACCACAACAUCUACUGCCAAACCUAAUACAACUGUAACAACAACACCCACAACCACAACAACAACAACAACAACAACAAAAACAACAACAACAACAACAACAUCUACUGCCAAUCCUAAAACAACAGCAACAACAACCACAAUAACAACAGCAGCAACCACAACAGCAGCACCAGCACGUCCUCAGCCAACUGUUGCCAUACAGAUUGUCAUUAUAGAGGUGUUUGUUCCAGCACUGAAAGACCCUCAAACUCCGGAAUUUAAAAGCCUAGCCACAAAAGUAGAGACUAUGUUUGAUGAAGUCUAUAAGAAAAAGUUUGGACCUCGUUUCAUCAGGACCAUCGUGAUUGCUUUCAUAGCUGUUGCCAGGACCCGGGCAGACUCAAACGUACAGGCGGAGGUUAAGUUAGUGUUUAGUGAAGUGUCCACUGAACCAAUCCCCAGCAACACCGACAUUGUGGAGACUCUAAAAGAAGCAGCUGCUAAUUCAACUGGAGGCUUCAACCUCACCCUUGAUGCCACCUCUAUUACUGUCAUUAAAUCAGUGCAGAUAAUUCCGCUGACCAUCCUCACCAAUGGAACCUUUGUGGCUGCUCUUUCAAAUAAAAGUUCUACUGAAUUUCAGAACAGGGCUUCGAUGAUAAAAACAGGGCUCGAACCUUUUUUCCUGACUGAUUACCCUGCAUCAUUCAGCACCAUAUCCGUAACAAACUUCAGUGAUGCCAGUGUAAAAUUAAAGAGUGUGCCCAAGAUCCAAAACAGCAUGGAUGUAGUAUUUGGAGCGGACGCUGCUCUACCCAAUAGCACCCAGAUAGUGAACACUGUAGUUCGAGCAGCCAGAAACAACACAUUACCCUUCCAGAUCUUCACUUCUUCAAUUAUAAUAAAUGGAACAGAAUAUUCAUCAGGUGAAGUCAGCAGCAGGAUCAGUGUGUUGACCACUUCGUUCCUGGUUAUGGUGUCACUUCUGGUUCCAUGGUUUAACUGA
ensembl:lncRNA